AGGAUAUAACCAAGUUUAUCUAACAUCACUAUUUUAGAAAAAUUUAGAGUAAACAAUUAAAAACUAAAAUCUGAUAAUAAAAAUAUAUAGUUAUUAAAGAAGAAAACAUUCAAUAAAAAAUAAAAAUGAAAUACAAGUAGUGGCGAACGAACCUAUAAACACAAACCAUAUACUGUGAGUAAUUAAACUUAAGUGCUAAAAGAUAAAACUAAUAAAAAAAGUACUGCGAAGGAAACAUCUAUAAUAUAUUAAUCCUUUAACAUAUUAGUUGUUGAUCAACAUACCUUUUGUAUAAUGGACCUACAAGAAACUACUUAGUAAAUAAAUAUUAAUAGACAUAAUAAAAAAUUAAUUAUUCCCGAAACUAAGUGAUCAAUUCCAGAACAGCAUAUUGUGCGAACUAAUUACUGUUUCAAAAGUAUUAGAUGAUUUUGGAAUAGAGGUUAAAUACUAAUCGAACUUAGAAAUAGCUGGUUUUCUACGAAAUCUUUAUAAGAAGAAGUAAUAUUAAUUAAAUAUAUUGUAUAAAAAUAUAUAAUUAAUAAAUAUUAUUUACAAACUACUAAUGAAAAGAUUAGUAGUUUACAGAGAAAUAACUCAAAACAAAAGCUAAAGACGCAAACCAACAAAGUGUCAAAUAAAGCAAAAUAAAAACGAGAGAAAAGUAGGACUGGAAACAACCACCUUAUAAAUAAUACGUAACAGUAACACUCAAAAAUAUAUGCUUUAGAAAUACAGGUGGCUAUAAUAGCCCUGAAGCUUUGUAAUAGGUAGAAGAAUAGACUAUAAAAAUAGUGGAAAUAAUGUAGGUAUGAAUAAUAUUGUUAUUUUAGGGUUUAAUAUUUAAACAGGUUCUAAAGAAACAAAAAUUAUGAUACUAACUAUCAAAGUAAAAAAUCAGUAUCUUAGAAACUGUACUAUCUAAUCAUAGAAAAUAAAAACAACAAGAAAAUUAUUACCAAGGAACUCGGCAAAAUAAAAUCAUUAAUAUUACAAGGAAAUCGACUGUUUACCAAAAACAUAGCUCUACUACAUACAUGUAGAGUGAUACCUGCUCCAUGGCUACAAAUAAACAAUAAUAGUAGUUAAAUAGCCGCGGUAACUCUGACCGUGAUAAAGUAGCAUAAUCACUCGUCAUUUAAUUGGUGACUGGAAUGAAUGGUUUUACGAAUUUCCAACUGUCUCAGUAAUAAAAUUAAUGAAAUUAAACUAAUAGUGAAGAUGCUAUUUAUAAAUUGUAAGACGAAAAGACCCUAUCGAGCUUUACUAAAUGCUUAAAUAAACAAAUACUACAAAAUAUUUUAGGACAGAAAUAUUUAAGCUAAUUAGUUUGGUUGGGGCGACCACCUCUAAAAAAGUAUCAGAGGAGAUCUAAUGGUUGAUAUUAAUAUAAAAAAGCCUAACUGUAUAUAAAUGCAUUAAUCAGUUACAACAAGUAGGAUAUAAUGACCCGUUGGAGCUAUCUAAAUACCUAACGACUACAAAAAAAGUUACCGUAGGGAUAACAGGGUAAUAUUCUCGAAGAGUUCUUAUCGAUGAGAAUGUUUGCCACCUCGAUGUUGAAUUAUGAUACCCUAAAGGUGCAGAAGCUUUUAAGGGUUGGUCUGUUCGACCAAUAAUAUCAUACAUGAUUUGAGUUCAUUCCGUCGCAAGACAGGAAGGUUUCUAUCUACAAUUUAGGAUUAACUAUAAACUUUAGUACGAAAGGAAUUAGAUUUAUUAUUAAAAUAAUAAAAGACACAAAUUAACUUGAAUCCAUAUAAAGAUAAAUACUAAAUCCAACAAUUAUAUAUAUAUA
rnacentral:rRNA from 1 species